AGACCCGAAACCCGGUGAUCUAGCCAUGGGCAGGUUGAAGGUUGGGUAACACUAACUGGAGGACCGAACCGACUAAUGUUGAAAAAUUAGCGGAUGACCUGUGGCUGGGGGUGAAAGGCCAAUCAAACCGGGAGAUAGCUGGUUCUCCCCGAAAGCUAUUUAGGUAGCGCCUCGUGAAUUCAUCUCCGGGGGUAGAGCACUGUUUCGGCUAGGGGGCCAUCCCGGCUUACCAACCCGAUGCAAACUGCGAAUACCGGAGAAUGUUAUCACGGGAGACACACGGCGGGUGCUAACGUCCGUCGUGAAGAGGGAAACAACCCAGACCGCCAGCUAAGGUCCCAAAGUCAUGGUUAAGUGGGAAACGAUGUGGGAAGGCCCAGACAGCCAGGAUGUUGGCUUAGAAGCAGCCAUCAUUUAAAGAAAGCGUAAUAGCUCACUGGUCGAGUCGGCCUGCGCGGAAGAUGUAACGGGGCUAAACCAUGCACCGAAGCUGCGGCAGCGAACGUAUCACCCAAGACAACUUUACGGAGUUGACGAUUGACGGAGCGAAGCGACGUCAAAGCGUUCAUUAAAGUCGAGUUGGCUUAGGGAUACGUUCGUUGGGUAGGGGAGCGUUCUGUAAGCCUGUGAAGGUGUGUCGUGAGGCAUGCUGGAGGUAUCAGAAGUGCGAAUGCUGACAUAAGUAACGAUAAAGCGGGUGAAAAGCCCGCUCGCCGGAAGACCAAGGGUUCCU
rnacentral:rRNA from 2 species